AACUUUCAACAACGGAUCUCUUGGUUCUGGCAUCGAUGAAGAACGCAGCGAAAUGCGAUAAGUAAUGUGAAUUGCAGACACCGUGAAUCAUCGAAUCUUUGAACGCACAUUGCGCCCUUUGGUAUUCCGAAGGGCAUGCCUGUUCGAGCGUCA
rnacentral:rRNA from 1 species